rnacentral:lncRNA from 1 species
UUCAAAAGCAUUAAAGGCUUGACGUUUCUUUUUCCGAUACAAGCCAAUAUUCAGAUUACAUGGACACUAAUCAAAUAACCCGGGCUAUUCCCUUUGUCAACAUGCUCAUAAGAAUCUUCUGCCAGGCGUUAAAGGCAUUUAUAGGGAACGACAUCUUUCAAAACCGAUGUUGCUUAGUCCGGAUUUAGAAAAUAUUUGAUUAUGACAAGACGUUUGAUGGUUAUAUUUUACAUACCAGCUGUGCCAUAAAUCGUUUCAUACCUCAAAGAAAUUCCUAAUUUUGUUUCCUGCGAGUGCUUUCUAUGAAGCAGGGAUUUCCAUUUCUAGCCAUCCUUACCCAUACCUGCAGCUCCCCGAACACCACGAUAAUAAACCAGAAGUGGUAUCAGGCGCCGCCGAGGAAGGCUUAGGAAGAUUUUUCCAUCCCCCCCCCCCCCCCAACUUUAGAAGAAACUCCUCUUUUUAAAGUACCGCUACAAGGGGAAUCCCCUCCACCUCCCGAGCUCCCCCCCCCCUUCCCCCGCUGCACUUCGCGGCCGCUCCCGGGACCGCCUCUGCCUCGGGGGGACUCCGCGCCCCUUGGGGGCCGUCGGGGAUCCCUGGGGGAGGCUUUUAGGGGGCGAGGGGAAUUAAGAGGGAGUCGGGGCGCCGCGGUGGGCGUUAUCCUGGGCGGGGAGCGGCGGAGGGGGAGGAGGAGGAGGAGGAAGCCGCCGUGCGGGGGGCGCAGGGGGGGCGGAUCGGGGCCGGCCGCGCUGCCGCCGGCAGACCGAGGGCAGCGCCCGGCGGAGCGGGGGGCUCCGAGCCGUCCCUCCCGGCCGGGCAGAGCCCUCCCGCAGCGGUCUUGUUGACAUGGCAAAUGCUGUUCAAGUUAAUCCCUACUCUGGAGAAAGGCCAGAGUAGAUGUAAAAAUGUCUGGGAAGACUGGGAUGAUGCUUCCCCAAGUCAAAUACUUAAAACAGUAGUUUUUGUGAGUAUCUUUUUUUUUUUUUUUUUGGUUUGUUGUUUGUUUGUUUGUUUGUUUUCCAAUGUAGGGUAAUUGUUUUGAAAGGGAUAUCACUAUAUGCAAAUUCCAUCACAGUUGAAAUGGAAUGUGAGGGUGAAAUUGAAGAAGCUACUUAGAGUUAUUUUUUAUCAAAUUAAGAGAACCAGUUUUUAUUAUCCACUUCCAUUUAUGUUUGCAAAGAACUAGCUAAAACAAGUUCUGGUUGAGAAGUUUCCUCACUUGCAAAAGUGGUUCAGUUGUUUUCGUUACACUCAUAAAGUUGAUGAUAAUAUUAAGCAAGGCUACCAGUGCUUUUAUGACCACCAAGAAGCAAAGGGUGAUGCCACAGUUCAACAUUAACGCUAUGGCAAGAACCAGGAUGAGUCCUAUGAAAAUAGGGGAGGGGGGAGUCUGUGUUUAAAUUGGUGUUUCUGCACUUGGAUGUUUCCAUGCGUUUCUUAGAAGAGCUUGCAGUGACAUCUGAAGGCCAUAUGGUAGAAAAUCAGCUCAUGAAUGUUCCUAUGACCUUCUUUCACUUCUCCUCCCUAGAAAUGUAUUUUUGUCACAAGGUGAGGGAGCUACCCAAAUAUUUUUCAGGAAGACACGAGUUGUAAUCUGAUUAGUACGAGUGGGAUGACAUGCAAGUGCUAGGAAACGGGGAGAGAAAAAGGAUAUCUGCAAGGUUCCAGCUUGGAAGAGCAUUCAGGAAAAUGGAAAAUGGCUACUAAACAUUUCAGCAAUGGAGCUAUUUCUUAAUAUGCAUGGGAGACUGUUAUACAAUCAACUAGGAUAGAUAUACAGACAACAGCCCCAGCAUUGGGAAUGUUUGUGUGUUUUUUUGGUGAAUGUUUUUGAAAGGAACAGACUCUCAUGCUUCCCACCCAGCAGCUAGGCAGUCACAGCUCCUAGCCACCAGCUCAGUGGUUGGAGGCAGACAGCUGAGGGUGGGGAGCAGAAACUUAAGAAUGCCACUCAGGUGGUGAAGCACUGAUCCAACCUUGGUUGUCACAACUGUCUGACAACUCCACUGCACCCUUCCCUGCUAAGCCCAAACUUACAGACAAGCUGAAUUGUGUCUUACACUGUUACAAAGCAUGCUAAUUCCGGGGAGGGAGGGAAGGGGGGGUGGAGGGGAGGAGUCUUCUUGAAGAAGCACAGAAAAUGCCUAGAAUGGGUCUUAGUAAGGGAGAGCUGAAAGGAGAUGGUGCUUUAACCAGGCAGCUCUAUUAACUGGAUUAAUAGAGAACGGGUUCACAGAGGUCUUCUGAAGACAUGAAAAGGAGUAAGCCAAAACAUUGGAGCUGCAUCUUCAAAGCAAAUUACUAGAAAUACCUGCUAAAUCACAGUGAAACUUGGCAGGAAAAAAGGGUAUAAAUCUUUCAGAUUAAGAUAAGGAAAACCAGCCUAAAGCUUCAUAGUUGACUUUGCAGGGCCACAGGUUUGAUAUAGAUUACCCCAAAAACAUCAGGUUGAGCCCUUUUCAGUAGCAAUUUUUGAGCUGCUUCUGGAAACAAGCAGGCUGGGAUCAAUUGCUGUGAGCACCAUCUACUUUGUGUUUUUUUUGAUGGAACAUCCACAACUGCAUAAUCCAUAGGGAGUUGCCUGCCUAUAGGUACUGGUUGCUUGACAGAUCUGUCACACUCCUCAGAAAUAAAGAUGCAAAAUCCAUGACUCA